UGAUCCUGUGGCCUAGUGGUUAGAGUGUUAGCCUCUGAUGCGGGAUGUCACGGGUUUGAACCCUGGCCAGGUCAU